ensembl:rRNA 5S_rRNA 5S ribosomal RNA
GUCUAUGACUAUAUCACUCUGAAUGCAGCUGAUCUUGGAAGCUAAGCAAGGUCAGGCCUGGUUAGUACUCGGAUGGGAGAAAACAGUUAUGAAUGACC